AAGCUACGCUAACUGUUAGUGUAGCAGAAAAUAUUUCCAACUAACACUACAGAAAAAUUUGAAGAAAAUUUUUCUGCUACGCUAACUGUUAGUGUAGCGG